UAGUUGUAGACUGUGGAUAGACACUAGACACACAACCACGUAUAAACAAUUUGUUGAACACUCUAAACUUUUACGAAUUAGUGCCCCAAGACUGCGCGUUUGGUGAGAAUUCAUUGUAGUAAUAACCGUAAUCUGUAAGAAGUACAGAUACGGCGCCGUUUAAUAACAACCUAGAAAUCCAUGAGCUCUGGUAGUGGUUUCACUGCUUCUUCAGCCUUCUCUCUCUCUCUCUCUCUCUCUCUCUCUUCGUAACUGAGGCCUGAGAUUUUCGUGGUUUUAGGGAAUGAGAAUUCUGCGAAGCCUUGAGGUCUGGAAAAUGGGCACUGUUAACUAUUUGGAUGCACUUAAGCUCCAGGAAAAGCUCGUGGCCGAUAGAAAAACUCGUAAAAUUGCAGAUACUGUCUUGUCCUUGCAACACCCGCCUACAUAUACCCUUGGCAAACGACGGACUGAUCACAAUUUGUUGAUCCCCGAGUCUGAACUUAAAAUGAUAGGAGCUGAACUUUGCUACACACAAAGAGGAGGGGACAUUACAUUUCAUGGUCCACAUCAAGCAAUUUUGUACCCCAUUAUUUCUCUCCGGGAUAUUGGAAUUGGUGCUCGAAAUUAUGUGGAGAAACUUGAGUUAACUAUGAUUGAAUUGGCCUCUCUGUAUGGUGUGAGAGCUUGUGCUGGACAAAAGGGUGAGACGGGGGUUUGGGUUGGAGAGAGAAAGAUUGGUGCUAUUGGGGUUAGUAUAUCAUAUGGAAUCACUUCUCAUGGGUUAGCAUUCAACGUUGAUCCUGAUCUGAGCUAUUUUAAGCAUAUUGUGCCUUGUGGGAUUGCCGAUAAAGAAGUUACUUCUUUGAGAAAGGAGACGGAUUCUGUGCUUCCAACUGAAGAAGUAAUUCAAGAACAGUUAAUUUCUUGUUUUGCAAGACUAUUUGGUUAUAGCAAUCUUAUUUGGAAAGAGAAGGGUUCGAUUUUGUCAGAUAAUGGGGAAAACUGAUGAGAUGGCUAUUAUGUGCCAAACAAUUUGUCUCUUAUGAUUUGAAAAUUUGUCCGAGAGACAGAAAUCAGCCAAGGAGACUGCUAGUUUUAGUCAGCUCCUUUUCUGCAAAAUCAAACAAGUUGGAUGAAGCCAUGGAAGAUGCCAAGAAAUCUGUUGAGACAAGCCUACGAAAGGCGCCGCCAAGCAAAUCCAAUCCUAUCCAGAACAAGUAACCUUGAUAGAAUUUGUGUGGAGAUCUCAACUAGAAAGAGAAAUUAAUUUACAUUCUCUUUCCACAUUUUUGCAGUUUUUUACUUGUACUAUUCAAUAGGUAGGAGAAAUGGUUCUCUAUCACUUUUUUUUUUUUUUUUUUGGGGACACUUACUCUGGUUUUAGAUCUCUGCUUUUACAAAUAUGCAAUUCUUUGAAUUAGUACUAUAUUUAGGAGGAGAUGAGGGAGAAGUGUAUUUACAGAAUUUUAAAAGAAAAUGUCAUAGAAUGUAUUAUUUUGUUUCAGGAGAUUGCCAGCUUCUUGUUGGCUAUUGAUGCUGAAUAUGGUUUUGUUUUAGAUUAAUCAUUAUGCUAGUGUUUAUAGUGAUAUAUUGAUUUUUAGGUUCUCCUUAUAACCUUAUGUCUAUAUAUUAUUAUUUUCCUUUUUUUAAUUUUCAAUAUAUACAGAAAAAUGUAAAGAUGUUGAAAUGCUACUGUGGCUCAUUUUGUCAUUAUGUUUCCUAGUAUUUCUACAUGUAGCCACAUGUAAUGAGCAGUGUAGGAAUGAUUGUUAAUUUCUUUGGCUAGUUUAGGGUAGCCUGUGCCAUGAGGAGAUGAAAGGAAGUUCCACAAGUUGAUUCUCACAAGAAGAAUAAUUCCUGAAUUUUGACCUCCUUUUAGGUAGAAGAGAACCUUUUCUCCCACAAAAGGUAUAAUGGUUCCCUCACUCUCACAAUUUUUUUGAGGCAUCAUCUUCUUCCCUUGUGCUCCUAAAAAUCGCAUGUUUCAGAUAUAUCACGCAUGAAUUUCUGAGUUUUCUCCCCUACACAACACGAGGAGCCCAUGUCAUCCUGGCCACAUUUUUGGCCCUAGUCCAGCUUCUUAUUCUUUCAAUGCAGAAGCAUUGCAAGACUACUAGAGAUGGCAAAAUGGGAAAUAUAUGGUUAAUGCUUGCAAGUUUCAUAUACUAGGCAGGAUUGGUGAAUUUUCAUCCCUUUCUCUACACACCAAUUUUUGAAUUAAGGAUUAUGCACCUCAAUGAAUGGACAUCAUAACAAAUCUAACCUUAUACUGCAUGAUAGUGCAGGAUGGGUUUAAGGUAUGUUCUUAUGCUUUGGCCAAAAGAAAAUAAAAGAAAAAAGAACUUACACAGUAAAAAUAUUCUAUGUAAUAUGUGCCCAAUUUGAUACUUCUAAUGACUGAAUUUACUGUCAUUUAAAAGUACUGUGUUUAUUCUGGAUUUAAUUUAUGAGUCUCAUAUUAAAGGCCCUUUUCUGAUGAACUACAGUAUUUUUGAAGGCCACUCCAUCUCAUUGAAGAAUGAUUAAGUUUUCUAAUGUGAGACAAAACUUCUAUAAAAGAAGCUUUUUCCAAUGUUACCAGUUUUCUCCAUUCGGAUCUUAAUUGAUUAAUACAAUAGAUGGUUAGGAGGUUGCAUGCUCAUAAAACCUUACUUUAUGCAUCAGAUCACAUCUAUAACCAUUGAUCAGAAACUUUUAACAUUAACAGUUGGAAAACAUUGGACUUCGCUGAAUGCUUUGUACACUCAUGUAAUUCAUCAAUAGGCAACACGUUUAGUUCUCUAAAUAUCGUAUAUCCUCAUCUCAUGAGAAAAUUUACUACUACAAGGGGCUCUGGCCAAAUAUUGGACUAAAACUUCCCAGUUGCCAGAUAGUAUAUGAGAUCUACAAGUUGCACCUUUAUGGAAGUACAAUAUUGGCUAUGACAUUUUGAGUGUUCUGAAUAGUGUUUUAAAUUGGGAUAACAGAUAAGAUUUUUUAAUCCACUUUACACAGUUUCUAAGAAAACAAACAAAAAACAGAAAUUUCCAUAAGCGAGCGACAUAUUGAUGCAAACAAGUUCAAAUACAAUGUAAUGUAGAAUCUUAAAUUCAUGAGAAGAAUCCUGAACUUUGUAUGGUUGGUUGGUACUUGGUACUAAUAAUCCUUGUAAAGUGCAGUUCAAAAUUUAAGUACUGAAAACCAAAUUAUGCAGAGAUUACUUGAAAUUGGGAUUGAUUUAUCAUAAAAUGGAAAGUACGUAUAAAAAAAAUUAUGCAGGACAAUCUUGAAGAAACUCUAUGCUUUCGUAAAAUACUGAUUAUAUUCAGUACAAGAUUGAGCACAUUGCCGGCCCAAAUUGGCUGCCAAAAACUUUUGUUAUACACCAUUUACAAUAUGUAUUAAUAGCAUUAGCAUGCUGAUAUUUCAUAUAUAUCUUUCUUGGAGGUGAAAGAAUUGCCUCAGAUGAUUAAAUUGGUAAAGCAGAGAAUAUAACUAAAAUUUGAUGCUUUGCAACUGCUCCAAAUUGCAUGGUGGUCUACUUGGACCAAAUUUUCCAGUCAGUAAUGUGUUUUGCACGCCCAUGGGACAGUCUAUUGUUGCUAUAGAGUUAAGGUAUGUUUUCUAUAACAUUAGAACCUUUUUGGGAUUCUUUCAUUGCUUCAAUAAUCAUCUGAACUUUCUGUAAUUGUAUAUGUCCUUCUUGGUAGAAUAUUUAUGCAUAUAUGUCAAAUAUCUUAUUAAAUUUCAUCUCUUAAAUGUUUUACUUAUUCUGUUUAAAAAAUGAUAGAUACGAGGCAGGACAAUAUGACUACAAUGUGCUUAUUUCAUUUUAAGUUUAUGUUACCUAUUUAUUAUAAUUGCUUGUCCAUUGCUAGUAUGCUGCUUGUGCUUUGUCCCUACACAAUCAAUGUCCUACUUAUGCACGUAUGGUAAUUUAACCUAAAAUUUUUAGUUUUAUAAUGCCAAGUGAGUAAUAGAAUAAACUUCAAUUGAAAAUAUCGUUCUGAGUGAGGUAUGAACUUCAAGUUUCAAACUGUUGAUUAUUUAAUUUAACACUAAAAAGAGAUUGCUGUAAGGGUAACAAUAAGAUCAAUCUCUCCUAUGCUUUUGCACUGCAGAUAGUCUCAUGCACAAUGCCAGUUGUGGCAAUUAUCUGUCCGUGUUUACUUUAUGCAACAUGGUACAAAAUGAAAAUAGUUUGGUACCACGCGUGCGCUCAAUGCAAUUGAUGCGCCACGUAAUUAAUAAUAAAGCUCCACGUUACAGCAGUCUCUCAUCCUCAGAUGACUCAAUUACUUUAAAUUGCUCUUCCUUGUAUCACUCACCAGCAUCCCUCUACAAACUUCAGAAUCUUAUCCCUAAAUUUUCACCUUUUUUUCCUUUCUAAAUACUAUCAUUUUCCAAAAUAUGAGAAUUAGAAAUAGACGGCCUUCCUUUCCUCCUCCUCCUCAAUAUGCACCUAUAACUGGGCCGGCACGUCUCCUUUCACAAGGUUCACGAGGCAGGCAUUUCUUGGUAGGAAAAGAGAGGAGGCGCAUUAAAUGGUCAUGUUCUCCAUUGGAAAAACCUAUAGCUCAAGAAUCAAGAAAGAACCAACAUGGUAAUAUGGAACCAACAAUCACUAGGGGAUUGAAUUCUUUGAAUUGUGUCAGGGAGGAGAAAGAUAUGGACAGCUGCAUGCAGAACAAUUCAAGUCCAGUAAUUGAUGUCAUUUUCUUCCUUCCUUUUCUUUUAAGAAAUUUUAGUAUAUCAAGUUCUAAAUGUCCCAAAUUAUUUAUUCAUUUUCUUUUUUUGUCAACAUCUUGAAUUCCUCUUUACUCAAAAAAGAAAAAGAAAAAACAUCUUGAGUUCCUCACUACAGCUUGUUCAACCACCACCUAGCUCUGUUCAAUUCUGAUAAAAAUUCAUUUGAUCUUCUACAAGUUAUAAUUUUGAACCUAUAUCCAAUAUAGAUCUCACAAGGACAACAAGGGAAGACAGAUGAAACAAAAGAAAUGCCUUUAUGUGCCACACCGGGGUAAAUAUGUAUCUUUUUUAUUUAUGUAUUUUAUCAUUAUUUACCUAAAUUUGAAUGCAGAUUAUUCAAUCUAGUUUGGGAAAUAUAAACACAUUUCCCCAUUUGCCAUUGUGAUGCUAUUAAAAUCCAUAAAUUAAAUGAUAUGAUACAUUUAUUCCAGUGCUUCACUUGUGAUAAAUUAAGUUUCUCAAUAUCUUUGAUUCAUAAAUAUAUAAGCAAUCUUUGUUUCUUAUUGACAAUGUUGUGGUUCUCAAUAUAUUCCGGUUCUUUUUUCACAAUAUAUUUGGUGGUGUAUCAGUUCUUUGCUUUUGGAUUACAGAAUUCAAUCUACCACAUGAAAUCUGUUAACUUAAAGAGACUUUUCCCUGUCACAGUUAUGGGGAGAGCUCUUGUGUUGCUGUUACAGUUGACAUUGCCCUGCCUUCAGCUUCCUCUGAAAUAGGAGAGAAGCUACCAUUAAAGAAGAGCAAACUGUACCAUCAGUGGGAGGCCAAAGCAGAAGAUAAAAAUAUAGCAGUGGAAGAGAAAAAUAUAACUGUGCAAGUGGCAAUGGAAAAUGAAACACCAGAGGUUGCAGAGGAAAAUGCAAUAGAUGUAAAUGAUAAAGAUGGAAUAGUAGAAGUAAAGAUGGCAGCAACAGAAAUGCUUGAUGUUGAUUGGCAGGGAAACAAUAUCAUUAAUUGCGUUGUAAACUAUGAAUCAGUUCCUCCUUCACCUCCAUUUUGUAGCCCGCAGAGGCAAGAAAAACAAGAACAGAUCACCUUUGAUGAGAAAUUUGUUGAGCCACUGGAGAAGCUGAGAAGGGGAAGGAAAAGGAAGCAGGGAAAUUAUCAGUCAGCUGAUGACAACAGGCCUGUUCAGUACAAACAAAAUCAGAAGCCGAAGAGAGGAAGAUCGAAGAGGUGGCAAGACGAUUAUUUCUAUUGGACUGAUUGGUAUGUGGAGAAGCAAAAGUGACAAAGAGUUCAGCCAAGAAAGGUGACAGAUCAGUCACUAAAAGAGAACAACUGGAAUGAAGAGAAGCCAAAAGAGGGCAAGGCCAAAGAAGAAUAAAGAUUACUCAAUCAGUAAAUCUGAUUCAGAUCAUUCUAAAAAAAUUUGCAAAUUUUGUAGUGUGAUAACUAUACAUCUGUUAUAUAUGAAGUGUCAUCUUUCAUUUCAUUUUCCCCCCUUAGCAGUAACGUUUGUAUAAGCAGUAACUGGAUAGAAACAUACAAACCUCAGUUUGCUCCUAUGUGGUCUGAAUUUGGUGCCCUGACAUUGGAUUGUUGGCAUAAAAUUUGGUCUGGUUUGGCACUCCAAAAAAGUCCACUGAUUUUGCA